rnacentral:sRNA from 1 species
UUUUUUGGCAACGCAACCCACACGCGCAUCGUUAACUCGCUGACUGGGUGUCCUCCUUAGGUCUGAGGCCUCGCGGCCCGCCGGAGGAUGGUCAGGGGGAUGCGCGGAGGCUCAAC